UAGGGUGAAAAAAAGAAUUUAAGGUGAACAAAGCAAAAAUGGGAAAAUAGUAUUUUAGGUAUUGUAAAUGGGUGAAAAAAGUAGACUUCUAUUUAAAAAUAUAUAAGUGGGAUGUGAAGAGAACGUGGGGUGAAUAAAGUGAUUUGUGGGGUGGCAAUAGACGCACCCAUUUAAAAUUAUACAAAAAUAUGUGAUGUGUAUUAAACAAAUGGGAAUGUGUGAAUGAAAUUUCUCAGAAAGAACAGUUGACAUGUAACACGAUUACAUAUCCUAAUAUCUAAUAGCUAGUAUUAUUAACAUACAUUUUUGUGUUAUUAACACACCUCAUUUAUUUUUCUAUCCACAAAUUUCAUUUUUAUUUACAAACUUGCCACUUGAAUUUGUUACAUGAUUGGUUCUCAUUAUAGAUGGAGUGUGUUAAUAACACAAAAAUGUGUGUUAAUAACACUAGCCCUAAUAAAACAGUUUUCCUAUUAUAUUCUUAACAUUCUUACAGUAUUUUGAUGUGAUUUUAUUGCUCUUUAAACCUUUAUAUCUUUGAUUAUAGCAAUAAAAGUUGUGAAAAUGAAAAUUUAAUAAACACAAAUCCGCCUAGAAGGCCGGUUAGCAGUCUAGGCGCUCUAAGCCUGUCAUCCGCACUAGGAGGGUCUGGCGAGUUUUCAAACCGUAUAUAUGACUUACAGUUUGCAAAAGAAAAUUGUUGUAUAACUGCACACUACCAGAUAUAUGACAACAAUUUACAUAUAACUCAAAUGCGUUUAAUGGAUAAUCUUUUCCCUAGUUGAAAGAACAGAAGGAAUUAGUUGUAAUUGUUUUUUUUUUUUUUUUUUUUGUAGAAGAGAACAAAUACAAAAAAACCCAGAAGAAAACAAGCCCAAAUCUUCCAAACAGACAAAAGAAGGGCUGCACUACCCUAAAAAACUGACAAACCUAAGGAGGAGGAGAAGCAGCAUCAAAGAGAAGAAUAUGCAUUAGGGAGGUGGGUGGAUUGGAGAACCAAUCCACAGGACACACCCUGCGCAGCGCAAGAGAAGCCACCCAAUUAGCAACCUCAUUUCCCUUCCUACUGGCCCAUCGCCAGUUAACCUGUUGAAACCUAGAUAAAUUUUACCGGAUUCAAGCUAUCGAACGAGCAGCUGUCCAAUCAAUAGUAGAUAAAGGAUAUGAAAGACUUGAAAUGAGGACUAAGGAGUCCGAUUCCAACUAAAAAGAAGAAAGAGAGAGAGAAGAGGCUAGGCUGAGACCAAGCUUGAUAGCUAAAGCCUCAACAACCAUAAUAGAGAUUGCAAAACCAUAGUUGUGCAUUCCACCAACAAUGUUCCCCAAAGAAUUUCAAGCAACAGCUACAAGGCCACACUCUGCCGAAUCCUUGUUCCAGGUAGCAUCUAUGUUGAUCUUAAUCAUUCCCAAUUUUGGAUUGAUCCAAUAUUGAACCGCUCCAUCCGGAUUCAAGUUUGGGGAAGCCAAAGACUUGUAGAGUUUCUGAGGAAUGAGCAGAAACUCUUGAGCCAAGCGAAAUGCAGUUGAGGCAGUUUGAACAAGAUCGAAUGCAGCCUUAUUGAAGACCAGAUUACAUCUUGUCUUCUAGAUAUUCCACAAGAGGAAGGACAUAGUUGUUUCAAAAUUAGCAUCACAGUCACAGUGAUCAUUCUUAGCCAGAAAGACACCAUCAAUCCAUCUGUCCAGAGAAGAAAUAGAAAGAACAGUUGACAUGUAACACGAUUACAUAUCCUAAUAUCUAAUAGCUAGUACUAUUAACAUACCUUUUUGUGUUAUUAACACACCUCAUUUAUUUUCCUAUCCACAUAUUUCAAUUUUAUUUACAAACUUGCCACUUGAGUUUGUUACAUGAUUGGUUCUCAUUAUAGAUGAGGUGUGUUAAUAACACAAAAAAGUGUGUUAAUAACAUUAGCCCUAAUAAAACAGUUUUCCUAUUAUAUUCUUAACAUUCUUACAAUAUUUUGAUGUGAUUUUAUUGCUCUUUAAACCCUUAUAUCUUUGAUUAUAUCAAUAAAAGUUGUGAAAAUGAAAGGUGUGUUAAUAACACUAGUCGUAAUAAAGCAGUUUUCCUAUUAUAUAUUCUUUGAUGAAGAAUAAAGUGUAGAGACAAACAGAUAGCAAGAGAGUCAUCUUAUUCAUUGAUAGGAGCCCUUUAUAUAGGGAAUUACACAAUACCAAUAUGGUAAGGAUAUGAAUACAUAGAUCUUGUCUAACUACAUAUCCUAUUGGCAUAAGGCCAAGGCACACAUAGAGAAUAUCCUAGAACACUCCCCCUUGUGCCGCGCGCUGAUAUGCCGAUGGUGCUGAUCUGNNNNN
rnacentral:lncRNA from 1 species